UCCUGGCCAUGCUAGACUCUUCCCAUCUGGA
rnacentral:piRNA from 1 species